CACAAUAAUUGUGUAUAUGCUUCUCUUGUUUAAAAUGGUUUAGCAGACAGGGAAAAAUGGCCAUUGCAACAGCAGGUGUAUGCAUAGUUUGCACACGAAAAGCCACUGCUUUCUUACUUUCUUUUUUGUUCUCUACUACUAUUCACAAGUAUUUAAGCACCUUAAUAGCAUAGCACUGCUGCAAACAUGCUAUUGCAAAACACAGAAUUGGGCAAGUUGUGGCAUAAAGAAAAUUGCAGUUUUGCUCCACUCACACUGUAAAAGUG
rnacentral:lncRNA from 1 species